rnacentral:rRNA from 1 species
UAGGGAAUAUUGCGCAAUGGAGGAAACUCUGACGCAGCGACGCCGCGUGGGUGAUGAAGGCCUUCGGGUCGUAAAGCCCUGUCGGAAGGGAAGAAAAAUGAGCUGGCUAAUAUCCAGUUCACUUGACGGUACCUUUAAAGGAAGCACCGGCUAACUACGUGCCAGCAGCCGCGGUAAUACGUAGGGUGCAAGCGUUGUUCGGAAUCAUUGGGCGUAAAGCGCGUGUAGGUGGUUAGGUAAGUCAGUUGUGAAAUCCCUCGGCUCAACCGAGGAAGUGCAUCUGAAACUACCUAGCUAGAGAACGGUAGAGGAAGGUGGAAUUCCAAGUGUAGAGGUGAAAUUCGUAGAUAUUUGGAGGAAUACCGGCGGCGAAGGCGGCCUUCUGGGCCGGUUCUGACAC